GGGGAAUCUUGCACAAUGGAGGCAACUCUGAUGCAGCGACGCCGCGUGAGCGAUGAAGCCCUUCGGGGUGUAAAGCUCUUUCGGCAGGGACGAUAAUGACGGUACCUGCAGAAGAAGCUGCGGCUAACUACGUGCCAGCAGCCGCGGUAAUACGUAGGGGCCUAGCGUUGUCCGGAUUUAUUGGGCGUAAAGAGCUCGCAGGCGGUUCGGCAAGUCGGAUGUGAAAUCUCCACGCUUAACGUGGAGGGGCCAUUCGAAACUGCCGUGACUCGAGUCCGGUAGGGGAGUGUGGAAUUCCCGGUGUAGCGGUGAAAUGCGCAGAUAUCGGGAGGAACACCAGUAGCGAAGGCGGCACUCUGGGCCGGUACUGACGCUGAGGAGCGAAAGCGUGGGGAGCGAAC
rnacentral:rRNA from 1 species